GACGAACGCUGGCGGCGUGCCUAAUACAUGCAAGUCGAGCGAAGUUUUUCUGGUGCUUGCACUAGAAAAACUUAGCGGCGAACGGGUGAGUAACACGCAAAGAACCUGCCUCAUAGACUGGGACAACUAUUGGAAACGAUAGCUAAUACCGGAUAACAGUAUUUCUCGCAUGAGAGAUAUUUAAAAGUUGGUUAUGCUAACACUAUGAGAUGGCUUUGCGGUGCAUUAGCUAGUUGGUGGGGUAAAGGCCCACCAAGGCGACGAUGCAUAGCCGACCUGAGAGGGUGAUCGGCCACACUGGGACUGAGACACGGCCCAGACUCCUACGGGAGGCAGCAGUAGGGAAUCUUCCGCAAUGGGCGAAAGCCUGACGGAGCAACGCCGCGUGAGUGAAGAAGGAUUUCGGUUCGUAAAGCUCUGUUGUUAGGGAAGAAUGGAUAUGUAGUAACUAUACAUGUAAGAGACGGUACCUAACCAGAAAGCCACGGCUAACUACGUG
rnacentral:rRNA from 1 species